UCGGUCCCUAUCUGCCGUGGGCGCUGGAGAACUGAGGGGGGCUGCUCCUAGUACGAGAGGACCGGAGUGGACGCAUCACUGGUGUUCGGGUUGUCAUGCCAAUGGCACUGCCCGGUAGCUAAAUGCGGAAGAGAUAAGUGCUGAAAGCAUCUAAGCACGAAACUUGCCCCGAGAUGAGUUCUCCCUGACCCUUUAAGGGUCCUGAAGGAACGUUGAAGACGACGACGUUGAUAGGCCGGGUGUGUAAGCGCAGCGAUGCGUUGAGCUAACCGGUACUAAUGAACCGUGAGGCUUAACCUU
rnacentral:rRNA from 12 species